UCCGACUUGACGUCGGCAGUCUCGUUAGAGUGCCCAACUUAAUGCUGGCAACUAACGACAGAGGUUGCGCUCGUUGCGGGACUUAACCCAACAUCUCACGACACGAGCUGACGACAGCCAUGCAGCACCUUCUCACUCGUUUCCCGAAGGACACCCCGACAUCUCUGCCAGGUCCGCCGUUGUCUAGCCCAGGUAAGGUUCUUCGCGUUGCGUCGAAUUGAACCACAUGCUCCACCGCUUGUGCGGGCCUCCGUCAAUUCCUUUGAGUUUUAAUCUUGCGAUCGUACUCCCCAGGCGGAAUGCUUAAUGCGUUAGCUGCGCCACCGAAGAGCAAGCUCCCCAACGGCUGGCAUUCAUCGUUUACGGCGUGGACUAC
rnacentral:misc_RNA from 1 species